CAGCCGUGAUAAGUGGGUCGUUAGCUACCUAUUGCAACAGAAAACACAAGAUGCAAAAUUUUUGCGUCAGUGCUCCUUUUUAACGAACUCCGGCUCCCUGACCC
rnacentral:lncRNA from 1 species